rnacentral:rRNA from 1 species
UACGGAGGGUGCGAGCGUUGUCCGGAAUCACUGGGCGUAAAGCGCACGUAGGCGGAUUGUUAAGUCAGGGGUGAAAUCCUGGAGCUCAACUCCAGAACUGCCUUUGAUACUGGCGAUCUUGAGUCCGGGAGAGGUGAGUGGAACUGCGAGUGUAGAGGUGAAAUUCGUAGAUAUUCGGAAGAACACCGGUGGCGAAGGCGACCUUCUGGGCCGCCACUGACGCUGAGGCACGAAAGCGUGGGGAGCAAACGGG